CUUUAUAAAUUUAAUUUAAUUUAAUUUUAUUUGUAAGUUAAAAAUCUUACAAAUUUAUAAAAGACGAGAAGACCCUAUAGAAUUUUAUAAUUUUUUAUAACUUAAUUUGGUUGUUUAAUUCUUAUUAUUUAUAAUUAUUAUUUUAUUGGGGAUAUAUAAAAAUUUAAUUAAAUUUUUUUUUAUUAUUUUAUAGAUAAAUAAAUUUUAAAAAUUAAUAUUAUUAUAUUUAAAUUAAAUUACCUUAGGGAUAACAGCGUAAUAAUUUUUAUAAGUUCAUAUUGGUAAAAUUUU
rnacentral:rRNA from 1 species